GAUCCUGGCUCAGAUUGAACGCUAGCGGCAUGCUUUACACAUGCAAGUCGAACGGCAGCACAGGGAGCUUGCUCCCGGGUGGCGAGUGGCGCACGGGUGAGUAAUACAUCGGAACGUGUCCUGUUGUGGGGGAUAACUGCUCGAAAGGUGGCUAAUACCGCAUGAGACCUGAGGGUGAAAGCGGGGAUCGCAAGACCUCGCGCAAUUGGAGCGGCCGAUGCCCGAUUAG
rnacentral:rRNA from 1 species